rnacentral:rRNA from 1 species
CCAAUAGCGUAUAUUAAAGUUGUUGCAGUUAAAAAGCUCGUAGUUGAAUUUUAGACUUGGCCGGGCGGUCCGUCUUUGGCGAGUACUGUCCUGUUGUCGGGUCUUCCUUCUGGUGAACCAGUAUGUCCUUAAUUGGGUGUGUUUGGGAGCCAGGACCAUUACCUUGAAAAAAUUAGAGUGUUUAAAGCGGGCUAUUGCGUGAAUAGAUUAGCAUGGAAUAAUAGAAUAGGACGUUGUGGUUCUAUUUUGUUGGUUUCUAGGACCACCGUAAUGAUUAAUAGGGAUAGUUGGGGGCAUUAGUAUUCAAUUGUCAGAGGUGAAAUUCUUGGAUUUAUUGAAGACUAACUAUUGCGAAAGCAUUUGCCAAGGAUGUUUUCAAUAAUCAAGAACGAAAGUUAGGGGAUCGAAGACGAUCAGAUACCGUCGUAGUCUUAACCAUAAACUAUGCCGACUAGGAAUCGGGCGACGUUAUUUUCACGACUCGCUCGGCGCCUUAUG